UAGUCUUAACUGCUGGACCACCAGGAAAGUCCUGAAAGAAGUCUUGAUUUUAAAUUCCAAGCUGUAUUCUGGCUUUACCAGAAUGACAGCUAUUAAACUUUCCCUUUUGAUUUCUAUGUAUAUUGAUCUACUGGUUCAAGAUCCAUAGGGCAGUGAUUCUCAACUGGAAGUGAUUUUGAUAGGGGACAUUUGACAAUGUCAGAAAACAUUUGUGAUUGUCAGGACUGAAGAAGGAGAUUCUACUGGCUUCUAGUCAUUAGAGUUCAAGGAUGCUGCCAAACAUCAUUCAAUGCACCAGAUUCCCAGGGAAAGAUAUGAAUGGUGAAGCCUAUUUUUGAACUAGGCUCCACAAAGCACAGACUUCUGCCAGUCCAAGGGUUCAAGUUCCUUAGUCCAACCCAAACAACUAUGACUCACAAGGCAGAGAGGAGUCACUUUCCUGAGGAAACUGAGGUCACAGUGUUCUCUCACGAUAUAAAGCUCAUGAGGUAUGUGGAAGAGCUGAGAUCAUGGAUUUGGAAAGGAUCGCCGAAGAGUUGUUAAAAUAAAAUUUUCCACAGAUAACUUACUGAUCUAGUUGACUUUUAUUCAGUGAUUCAUGACUUGGGUACUAUUUAAUCUAGCAGGUAGAAAGGAGCUCUGAAGAGCAGUACAAGGUGAGAGUUUUUUAUAGACCAAAGUGAGCAGGGUCAAGGAAGAUGUACUGGGCAUUUGCUAAUGGGUUAAAGGAGAGUUCCUUUCCUUAUAUGGAACAAGGAGCUGGAUAAGGGUUUGGUAAACAGGCAAGCAUGAUUGCUUGGUUGACCUGGGCCUUCCUUUGCUUGGAGAGCCCAGGUAGGGAAACAGAUAAAUUCUGGUUUGCUGAUGUGGGGCUUAGCAUGAGUGAUUCCAUCUUGGACCUAAUCUGGUUACUUUGAUAGAGUCCUUGGUCUAUCACAUAGUCUUUACUAUGCAAAUAGGGGCAGCCGCGUCAGAAUUUUGAGAAUUGAUCUCAGUAUCUUUCUACUGAAGGCAAUACCUGCUUUCCAGCAUUGUGGCAAGACAUUUAAGAGCUUCCGUCACAGCUUCAGUGCAACUUAACCACUUAACCAGUUCUGUGAAUGCUGUCAUGUUCUGGAAUAUUAUCGUGCCUCAAUUUUCUCUUUUGUAAAUUUGGGAAGAUUGUAUCUGCUUCACAGGGUUUUUUGAUAAAGAAAUGAGUUACUAAUAAUGACUGCAAAGCACUUGUAACAGUGUCUGUCUCAAAUGUUAUUAUCAUUGUUAAUGCACGUUGAGCUUUUAGCUCAGUGCUUGAAAACCUGGCAGUCAUUCAGUCAAUGGUAGCUAGUUUUUAUACAAUGCCCGGUAUUAUUAUUGCUAGAAACAAAGAAAAAUAACAAUUUACGGCAAGGGAGAAUCCAGUAAACGAUCUAUGAAGGUCUGUUAUAGCCUAAACCAACAUAUGCUUUGUGAUAGUGAUUAGGCUGGGUAGGAGCCAUCAGUCAAGCCAGAAGGAUGAGGCAAAUGAGGAAACCUUUUCAGAAGACAUGUGGAUGAUUCUAGGGAACUGGAUGACAUUUUGGUUGGGGCAUAACUUCACAGUAAUUGAACACUCCCCAAAUAUCAUUUUUAAAGUAAACUUACCUUAUUACUGUUAGUUGGAGGCAUAAAUUUCCACUCUGUGAAUGCCCUGUUCAUUUGUGGAUCCCAUUGCAGGGUUAAACAAAGUCAACAGAGUCCUUCCAUCCCAUUCAUUUCUAAUGCAACCUGUAUUGCUACCAUAAGCAGCAAAAUAAAAUUUUUUCCAUUUACCUCUGACUCAAAAAGCAGAGGGAGAGGCAUUUUGAGAUAGUUUAAAUAGGGAAAUGGAGAUUUAGAGGUUAAGUGAUGGGUUUAAUGACAGUGGUGCUUCCUGUUAGUACUGUAUUUCAUUUUUCAAAGUAUAUCCUCAGAAAUAAUCUCCUUGGAUCUAUACAACUAAAUAGAAUAUAAGCAAGAAUAUAAGACUGUUAUCUCCAUAUAACAAAUUAGAAAGCUGACGUUUCUCUGUCAGAUGUAUACUCAGGCUAAACUGGAGACAUUGAUUCCAGCUCUCACUGUUAUGUAGGGGAGCUUCUCUUGCUAUCAUUGUAAAGACCUACAGCAUUUCCCCAGCAUUGACUUUAUUCUGAUUUCUUUAAAAAUAAACUCCUGGGCUUCCCUGGUGGCGC